UACGAAGGGGGCUAGCGUUGCUCGGAAUCACUGGGCGUAAAGGGUGCGUAGGCGGGUUUUUAAGUCAGGGUGAAAUCCUGGAGCUCAACUCCAGAACUGCCUUUGAUACUGAAGAUCUUGAGUCCGGGAGAGGUGAGUGGAACUGCGAGUGUAGAGGUGAAAUUCGUAGAUAUUGGGAAGAACACCAGUGGCGAAGGCGGCUCACUGGCCCGUAACUGACGCUGAGGUGCGAAAGCGUGGGGAGCAAACAGGG
rnacentral:rRNA from 1 species